rnacentral:rRNA from 1 species
GUGGGGAAUAUUGGACAAUGGGCGCAAGCCUGAUCCAGCCAUGCCGCGUGAGUGAUGAAGGCCUUAGGGUUGUAAAGCUCUUUCGCCCGCGAAGAUAAUGACGGUAGCGGGAGAAGAAGCCCCGGCUAACUUCGUGCCAGCAGCCGCGGUAAUACGAAGGGGGCUAGCGUUGUUCGGAAUCACUGGGCGUAAAGCGCACGUAGGCGGACUUUUAAGUCAGAGGUGAAAGCCUGGAGCUCAACUCCAGAACUGCCUUUGAUACUGGGAGUCUUGAGUCCGGGAGAGGUGAGUGGAACUGCUAGUGUAGAGGUGAAAUUCGUAGAUAUUAGCAAGAACACCAGUGGCGAAGGCGGCUCACUGGCCCGGUACUGACGCUGAGGUGCGAAAGCGUGGGGAGCAAACAGGAUUAGAAACCCCAGUAGUCC